AGAUCAUUUCAAAGAGGGCUCGUGGGGCUAUGAAACCACGAGCUCUUAAUGCUAUGACCAAAGACUGAAGUUCUCUAUAGGAUGCCAUGGCGCUCAAUGGUGCUGUUUUCCUGAGGAGAUAUAAGA
ensembl:snoRNA